rnacentral:rRNA from 1 species
GGGUUGUGAGGUUAAGCGACUAAGCGUACACGGUGGAUGCCUAGGCAGUCAGAGGCGAUGAAGGGCGUGCUAAUCUGCGAAAAGCGUCGGUAAGGUGAUAUGAACCGUUACAACCGACGAUACCCGAAUGGGGAAACCCAGUGUGUUUCGACACAUUAUCAUUACAUGAAUACAUAGUGUAAUGAGGCGAACCGGGGGAACUGAAACAUCUAAGUACCCCGAGGAAAAGAAAUCAACCGAGAUUCCCCCAGUAGCGGCGAGCGAACGGGGAAGAGCCCAGAACCAGAAUCAGCGUAUGUGUUAGUGGAAGCGUCUGGAAAGUCGCACAGUAUAGGGUGAUAGUCCCGUACACAAAAAUGCAUACGUUGUGAGUUCGAUGAGUAGGGCGGGACACGUGACAUCCUGUCUGAAUAUGGGGGGACCAUCCUCCAAGGCUAAAUACUCCUGACUGACCGAUAGUGAACCAGUACCGUGAGGGAAAGGCGAAAAGAACCCCGGCGAGGGGAGUGAAAUAGAACCUGAAACCGUGUACGUACAAGCAGUGGGAGCCUACUUUGUUGGGUGACUGCGUACCUUUUGUAUAAUGGGUCAGCGACUUAUAUUUUGUAGCAAGGUUAACCGAAUAGGGGAGCCGUAGGGAAACCGAGUCUUAACUGGGCGUCAAGUUGCAAGGUAUAGACCCGAAACCCGGUGAUCUAGCCAUGGGCAGGUUGAAGGUUGGGUAACACUAACUGGAGGACCGAACCGACUAAUGUUGAAAAAUUAGCGGAUGACCUGUGGCUGGGGGUGA